GUUCUACAGGAGAUAAUGUUUCUUGAACGCUCUCUCCAGCUGGGAGCAGCGUUUUUUAGACGGAAACUAGAGAGGAGCUGCCUCUUCGAUUUCCUUACGCACAUGUUACACAUUUUAUUACAUUGUGCACUAAACAUGUAUUCUUCUGCUGUGGAUAUCUGAUAAGGCAUCCUCAAGAAGUCAAUGGGAACAAAGGGCCAUUGAUUUAAUUUCCAAUGAGGCUUCCUCUACUCUAAAUAAGCCUCAUCAAUUUCUUAAGAUGUGGGACCCCUUCGUGAACCAACUCCGUCAAAACAAAAUGCUAAUUUCAGUACUGUCAGGCCUGGCCUGGCGCGAUUCAGCUACUUGAGGACAAAUCUACUUUAUGUAGGUGGUUUGUACUCAUACUUGACCUCUGUGAUUGUGUAGUCUGACGCUUAUUGUGGGUCUAUGAUCUGUAUACUGAUUAAUGGUAUUUUAUUUCUUUUUUUUAUUGUUGUCUUGUCUGUCUGUCUGUCUGUCUGUCUGUCUGUCUGUCUGUCUGUCUGUCAAUUGUGCUCUUCAUUCUCCUGUGUCUAGUGUUUUUUUGCCUUGUUUUCUUCUAUGAUAUAUUUAGUGUAUUUUUAUUACUCUGUAAAAGCCACAAAAGUUCAUUCAAAUUAUAUUAAAAAAUAUAUAUAAUAAAAAUAUAUAAAAUAUAUAAUUUAAAAAAUACUGGCAUAAUCAGUGAAAAGCUGAUUGGCAUUAGCGUUAGUACGCUAACGAGCCUAGCUGCCCCUCCCUGCUGCUCUAGGCAGGUUCACAGUGUUAGCACACUAACUAGCCUAGCUUCCCUCCCUGCUGCUCUAGGCAGGUUCACAGUGUUAGCACACUAACUAGCCUAGCUGCUCCCCCCUGCUGCUCUAGGCAGGUUCACAGUGUUAGCACACUAACUAGCCUAGCUGCUCCUCCCUGCUGCUCUAGGCAGGUUCACAGUGUUAGCACACUAACUAGCCUAGCUGCUCUAGGCAGGUUCACAGUGUUAGCACACUAACUAGCCUAGCUGCCCCUCCCUGCUUCUCUAGGCAGGUUCACAGUGUCCUUUCCUUAAAACAAAGACACACUUUGGCCCAGAAACCGGAUACACUCCCACUUCUCCUCCUUCUCUCUCUGCCUUUCUCCUUCUCUCAAUCUCCACCUCACACUUUCUUUCUCCCCUUCUCCCUCCUCACCCCGUCACUCUUUCCCUAUUUCUUUUUCUGCUUCUCUUUCUCCCUUCUCCUUCGCUCAACCCUCUCUUUCCUUCCCACCUCUCCUUUUCCUUCUCUUUCUUAUUCUCUCCAUUUCUCUCUCCCCACUGGUUUCACUUAAUAAGCUUCAAAGGGUUUCUGGGCAACGUGGUAUCUUAAAAAAAGUAACCAUGGCAUUUAUUUGGCACACAACAUCUUCCCUCUUUCUGAGGAUAUGGGGGUUGCCAUGACAUCGGUGGGCACCUUAUAAAGCACACCAUUGUUGCUGUUUGUGUGUGUGUGUGUGUGUGUGUGUGUGUGUGUGUGUGUGUGUCAGGCGUCUUGUGCCAGCUUGGUCUAAACGCUCAGGCUCCUCAUAUGAAACGCAGAACGUUGCCUAUGCCAGGGAGGAGAGAAUACAAUUAUACCGGCCAACUCAUGCUUACCAGACUAGUCACACACAUUCUCUCUCCUUUACUCUCCCUCCCUCUGACACACACAACUGAAAGGUUACACAUACAGCGUUCACACUAAACUACGAUAAUUCUAUAAGAUAAAAUGUCGUGGUUAGGGGCGAUAUAGGCC
ensembl:lncRNA